rnacentral:rRNA from 1 species
UACGUAGGGUGCAAGCGUUAAUCGGAAUUACUGGGCGUAAAGCGUGCGCAGGCGGUUAUGCAAGACAGAUGUGAAAUCCCCGGGCUCAACCUGGGAACUGCAUUUGUGACUGCAUAGCUGGAGUGCGGCAGAGGGGGGAUGGAAUUCCGCGUGUAGCAGUGAAAUGCGUAGAUAUGCGGAGGAACACCGAUGGCGAAGGCAAUCCCCUGGGCCUGCACUGACGCUCAUGCACGAAAGCGUGGGGAGCAAACAGG